GCCAAGCUAGGGACUGACCAUUAUUUGUAGACUACAGGGAGCCACUGGUGCAUUAAAGUAGCAGAGUGUGACAUGAAUGGGUCUGGAUUUUAGUAAGAUAAAGCUUGUGACAGUAUGAACGAUGGAUUUAAGGGGUGAGAAACUAUAAACAAGGAGACCAGUCAGAUACAAUAAUGCACAUAAGAAUGGGAAAUUAAUAAAAACUGUGGCAGCAGAUAUAAUAGAAGGGCACACAUUCAAAAGAUAAUCUAGAGUUAGAUGAACAUAGCAAUAGUAGUUAAAUUCAUAUGGUUUAUUUUUUGUCUGUGUCCUUCACUGUAUUAAGGACUCCAUGCACAUUACCAAUAAAUCUUCAUAGCAGCCCUAUGACAUGCACUCUACUUACUGUGCCUGUUUUACAGAUGGGGGAAGUGAAGAUUAGGGAAGUUAAACGGCUGGCUGAAGAUCACAUAGCUAGUAAUUAUGGAGCUGGGACUGAACCCAGGCCUAACUCAUUUGAGAGCAUAACAAAUACCUAAGAUAAACAGCUUCUAACUUGCCCAGAUGACCAUGGGAAAUGAGGAAAAAUUGGAAACUAAGGAUAACUAUGUUGUUCCUGGUCUGAGUGACGUGGGGAAUGAAGAUCUGAUUAUCAAGGUCCUGGGUUUAUCCUAAGGCUGUUUCACACCAAAGCUCUACAGGAAGGACACCAAGUAGCAAAAAAAUGCAUGUCAAAUGGGAGAAACAAAGUAGUUUUCCUUGGCUCUGUGUUAUGAGCUGGAUCUAAAUACUCCAGAAUCAAGGAAGCUAUAAUGCCUGCUCUUCUUCUAAAGCUCAAAGCCGAAUUUCAGAACUCACCUAAGAAUGAAACACAAAGCCUCUCAUGCCCACAUCAGACAUGAAGAGAGAUUGUGUCCUUCAAAGGGAUGAGCACUGUCUUUUACAAGCUGUUCUCUGAGUUUUAUUAAAUAUCAACAGAAGUUCAACAAUGUGAGAGAGACUUCAAACAUAAUCACUGCUGUUAGAAUAAGAGGAACAACCAGGAGCAAGACAACGUUACCCAUGCCAAGUCCUCAAUAAUCCUGAUGCAGAGCAGUCUGCAUGAAAAUUAGGACAAUUAUCUACUGUAAAUUAAUGUACUUUAAUAUUCAACCUCUAAUACACACGUAUUGCUUUGUUUUCACAGGAUUAAAUGAAUUGAAGGGA
rnacentral:lncRNA from 1 species